rnacentral:rRNA from 1 species
GAAACAUCUUCGGGUUGUGAGGUUAAGCGACUAAGCGUACACGGUGGAUGCCCUGGCAGUCAGAGGCGAUGAAGGACGUGCUAAUCUGCGAUAAGCGUCGGUAAGGUGAUAUGAACCGUUAUAACCGGCGAUUUCCGAAUGGGGAAACCCAGUGUGUUUCGACACACUAUCAUUAACUGAAUCCAUAGGUUAAUGAGGCGAACCGGGGGAACUGAAACAUCUAAGUACCCCGAGGAAAAGAAAUCAACCGAGAUUCCCCCAGUAGCGGCGAGCGAACGGGGAGGAGCCCAGAGCCUGAAUCAGUGUGUGUGUUAGUGGAAGCGUCUGGAAAGGCGCGCGAUACAGGGUGACAGCCCCGUACACAAAAAUGCACAUGCUGUGAGCUCGAUGAGUAGGGCGGGACACGUGGUAUCCUGUCUGAAUAUGGGGGGACCAUCCUCCAAGGCUAAAUACUCCUGACUGACCGAUAGUGAACCAGUACCGUGAGGGAAAGGCGAAAAGAACCCCGGCGAGGGGAGUGAAAAAGAACCUGAAACCGUGUACGUACAAGCAGUGGGAGCACGCUUAGGCGUGUGACUGCGUACCUUUUGUAUAAUGGGUCAGCGACUUAUAUUCUGUAGCAAGGUUAACCGAAUAGGGGAGCCGAAGGGAAACCGAGUCUUAACUGGGCGUUAAGUUGCAGGGUAUAGACCCGAAACCCGGUGAUCUAGCCAUGGGCAGGUUGAAGGUUGGGUAACACUAACUGGAGGACCGAACCGACUAAUGUUGAAAAAUUAGCGGAUGACUUGUGGCUGGGGGUGAAAGGCCAAUCAAACCGGGAGAUAGCUGGUUCUCCCCGAAAGCUAUUUAGGUAGCGCCUCGUGAAUUCAUCUCCGGGGGUAGAGCACUGUUUCGGCAAGGGGGUCAUCCCGACUUACCAACCCGAUGCAAACUGCGAAUACCGGAGAAUGUUAUCACGGGAGACACACGGCGGGUGCUAACGUCCGUCGUGAAGAGGGAAACAACCCAGACCGCCAGCUAAGGUCCCAAAGUCAUGGUUAAGUGGGAAACGAUGUGGGAAGGCCCAGACAGCCAGGAUGUUGGCUUAGAAGCAGCCAUCAUUUAAAGAAAGCGUAAUAGCUCACUGGUCGAGUCGGCCUGCGCGGAAGAUGUAACGGGGCUAAACCAUGCACCGAAGCUGCGGCAGCGACGCUUAUGCGUUGUUGGGUAGGGGAGCGUUCUGUAAGCCUGUGAAGGUGUACUGUGAGGUAUGCUGGAGGUAUCAGAAGUGCGAAUGCUGACAUAAGUAACGAUAAAGCGGGUGAAAAGCCCGCUCGCCGGAAGACCAAGGGUUCCUGUCCAACGUUAAUCGGGGCAGGGUGAGUCGACCCCUAAGGCGAGGCCGAAAGGCGUAGUCGAUGGGAAACAGGUUAAUAUUCCUGUACUUGGUGUUACUGCGAAGGGGGGACGGAGAAGGCUAUGUUGGCCGGGCGACGGUUGUCCCGGUUUAAGCGUGUAGGCUGGUUUUCCAGGCAAAUCCGGAAAAUCAAGGCUGAGGCGUGAUGACGAGGCACUACGGUGCUGAAGCAACAAAUGCCCUGCUUCCAGGAAAAGCCUCUAAGCAUCAGGUAACAUCAAAUCGUACCCCAAACCGACACAGGUGGUCAGGUAGAGAAUACCAAGGCGCUUGAGAGAACUCGGGUGAAGGAACUAGGCAAAAUGGUGCCGUAACUUCGGGAGAAGGCACGCUGAUAUGUAGGUGAAGUCCCUCGCGGAUGGAGCUGAAAUCAGUCGAAGAUACCAGCUGGCUGCAACUGUUUAUUAAAAACACAGCACUGUGCAAACACGAAAGUGGACGUAUACGGUGUGACGCCUGCCCGGUGCCGGAAGGUUAAUUGAUGGGGUUAGCGCAAGCGAAGCUCUUGAUCGAAGCCCCGGUAAACGGCGGCCGUAACUAUAACGGUCCUAAGGUAGCGAAAUUCCUUGUCGGGUAAGUUCCGACCUGCACGAAUGGCGUAAUGAUGGCCAGGCUGUCUCCACCCGAGACUCAGUGAAAUUGAACUCGCUGUGAAGAUGCAGUGUACCCGCGGCAAGACGGAAAGACCCCGUGAACCUUUACUAUAGCUUGACACUGAACAUUGAGCCUUGAUGUGUAGGAUAGGUGGGAGGCUUUGAAGUGUGGACGCCAGUCUGCAUGGAGCCGACCUUGAAAUACCACCCUUUAAUGUUUGAUGUUCUAACGUUGACCCGUAAUCCGGGUUGCGGACAGUGUCUGGUGGGUAGUUUGACUGGGGCGGUCUCCUCCUAAAGAGUAACGGAGGAGCACGAAGGUUGGCUAAUCCUGGUCGGACAUCAGGAGGUUAGUGCAAUGGCAUAAGCCAGCUUGACUGCGAGCGUGACGGCGCGAGCAGGUGCGAAAGCAGGUCAUAGUGAUCCGGUGGUUCUGAAUGGAAGGGCCAUCGCUCAACGGAUAAAAGGUACUCCGGGGAUAACAGGCUGAUACCGCCCAAGAGUUCAUAUCGACGGCGGUGUUUGGCACCUCGAUGUCGGCUCAUCACAUCCUGGGGCUGAAGUAGGUCCCAAGGGUAUGGCUGUUCGCCAUUUAAAGUGGUACGCGAGCUGGGUUUAGAACGUCGUGAGACAGUUCGGUCCCUAUCUGCCGUGGGCGCUGGAGAACUGAGGGGGGCUGCUCCUAGUACGAGAGGACCGGAGUGGACGCAUCACUGGUGUUCGGGUUGUCAUGCCAAUGGCACUGCCCGGUAGCUAAAUGCGGAAGAGAUAAGUGCUGAAAGCAUCUAAGCACGAAACUUGCCCCGAGAUGAGUUCUCCCUGACUCCUUGAGAGUCCUGAAGGAACGUUGAAGACGACGACGUUGAUAGGCCGGGUGUGUAAGCGCAGCGAUGCGUUGAGCUAACCGGUACUAAUGAACCGUGAGGCUUAACCUU